UACGAAGGGGGCUAGCGUUGUUCGGAUUUACUGGGCGUAAAGCGCACGUAGGCGGAUCGUUAAGUCGGGGGUGAAAUCCUGGAGCUCAACUCCAGAACUGCCUUCGAUACUGGCGAGCUCGAGUCCGGAAGAGGUGAGUGGAACUCCUAGUGUAGAGGUGGAAUUCGUAGAUAUUAGGAAGAACACCAGUGGCGAAGGCGGCCAUCUGGCCAGGUACUGACGCUCAGGCGCGAAAGCGUGGGGAGCAAACAGG
rnacentral:rRNA from 1 species